AAACCGUUCAGUUUUAGCCUUAAUAGACGGAAGGCGAUCGUUACGCAAGUUAUUUUGAUGUGCACUACUAAAACUACUAUAAAACCAAUCUAUUAAUUUAAAUUAAACAAAAGAUCCGAGUUCUUCGCGAAAUGUUGACAUUGAGAAAAAUUCAGCGCAGGGAAAUGCGAAAGCGCGCGAGCAAACAAGACAAACUGCCAUCGAACGGUUGAUGAUCCAAUCACGUAAGAACAAAAUCGUG